AUUGAACGCUGGCGGCAGGCCUAACACAUGCAAGUCGAGCGGAUGAAUGGAGCUUGCUGCUGGAUUCGGCGGCGGACGGGUGAGUAAUGCCUAUGAAUCUGCCUGGUAGUGGGGGAUAACGUCCUGAAACGGGCGCUAAUACCGCAUGCGUCCUGAGGGAGACAGAGGGUGGGCUUCGGACCUCUCGCUAUCAUAGGGGCAUAGGUCGGAUUAAGUAGUUGGUGGGGUAAAGGCCUACCAAGGCGACGAUCCUGAACUGGUCUGAGAGGAUGAUCACUCACCUGGGAUGUGAGACACGGCCGAGACUCCUACGGGAGGACGCAGUGGGGACUAUUGGACGAUGGGCGAGAGCCUGAUCCAGGAAUGCCGCGUGUGUGAAGAAGUUCUCAGGCCUGUAAAGCAAUUUAAGCUGGGAGGAAGUGAAGUAAGUUAAUACCUUGCUGUUUUGACGUUACCAACAGAAUAAGCACCGGCUAACUCCGUG
rnacentral:rRNA from 1 species